UACGUAGGGGGCAAGCGUUGUCCGGAAUCAUUGGGCGUAAAGCGCGCGUAGGCGGCCCUGUAAGUCCGUUGUGAAAGUCAAAGGCUCAACCUUUGAAAGCCGAUGGAUACUGCAGGGCUAGAGUCCGGAAGAGGCGAGUGGAAUUCCUGGUGUAGCGGUGGAAUGCGCAGAUAUCAGGAGGAACACCUAUAGCGAAGGCAGCUCGCUGGGACGGUACUGACGCUGAGGCGCGAAAGCGUGGGGAGCGAACAGG
rnacentral:rRNA from 1 species